GAUACUGCUUUCAUACUUCCUCACACAGGUCAAUCGUCGCACAUUUGUAGCUGAACCCACAACUGCCGUAUGCUCCAGUAAAUCCAGCUGUCACUCAGCACCACUCAAUAGGUUGAUUCGACUGCACCACUGACCUAUAUGACGCUCUCCCUCAUCUCAACUUUGUUAAUCAGCUGGAGAGAUGAGCUGAAGAAAUCUUAAAUGACUUGCUGGAUGCAGUCUGACCCUGCUGAGCACUUCCACCUGUUCUCAUUGUAUUACACUGUAUGUUUAAUGAAUGAAAGCCAAUAAUAAGGAAACCAAGACUACCAGAAGUGCUGAAGAUUCUGCUAGACCAAUCGUGCCUUUUGCCGUUUAUUCUGCAUGAUAACUUAGUUCCAAAAUUGAGAAAUUCAGUUCUAUAUAUAUUCAUAGUCAUUUCAGAGGUGCACUGAGAAACUCUGGGAACGUAGAUUAAUCUCUUUAGCUAAUUGAGUGUGUUCUGUCACUCUAUCAGAUCUUGGCUGAUGUACCUCAUUAAUCAACAUUGGUUUGAGAUUCUUUCAUUAACUUAUGCAACAGACUCUUUUUAACCUUGAUUUUGCAGACUCCAUUUAAUUUUGGCAUGAGAUUUUGGGGAAAGGAAGAUCCAGAUUUCCACUACUACUUGUGUGAAAAUGCGUUUCUCACAACUGCCCCUAAAAACACUCUGCCUCUAAUUAUAAGCCCUUUGUUCUGGCCCCACCCGUUCAAGCAAAUUCACCUAUAGAACCAAAUCCAUUAUGUGUUGUAUGCAUCUCAGUGGAAUUAUCCUCAAUAUCCUACCCCAGUCUUACUGCAAUGCCACUAUAUUCCGCUGGAUGGACGGAGACCAAACAACGAAGGGUCUUGGCCCGAAACGUCAACAGCGCUUCUCCCUAUAGAUGCUGCAUGGCCUGCUGUGUUCCAUCAACAUUUUGUGUAUAUUGUUGUUCAAGUACAUUGAAUCAGAUUUUACCGGACAAUGGUAGAAGAGUUACCAUACAUCCAUGGGCUAGACACAAAGAGCUGACCUCUCUGAUCCUCCAACAUCCUGAAGUAAAGCUGCAAGGCCCAAAGGAGGGUAGAGGUCCCAUGCCUAGAACACCCCUGAGGAAGCUGGGGCAGGCUAUGGCUUAUGCCAGUGCUACCACUGAUUUCCUUUUAAUAGCUCUGACAUUAAAAUAUACUUAAUAUAUUAAGUAUAUAUUUAUAACAACAAAAUAAAGCAUUAAAAAACUAAGUAACAAAAUAUUAAACUGAAGCAUAAUUAAUUAAAAGAAAGCUUAACUUUCUUUUUGCACCAAGUCUACAUACCUACUGAAUUCGCUAGUGCUUCGGAUUCAGCAAAUACCCCAGUGCAGGCCCCUAGUGAUUAACUAGCCUGUGUGAUACUGGUGCUUGUAAUGGACUUCUCGAGUGCUUGGUGACGUGACCCAGUAAUUAGGUCACAGGCUAAUUUAACCUGCCAGGAAGACUCAGCACAAGUUCAGAAGGGGGACACUGCAAAUUUUAUCUACCUACAAGGUAGCAGUUUUAUCAACUCAUUGUUCUUAGGAUCUUUAAAACUGAGUUCAAGACUUUGAGUCAAAUCUCAGCCAAGAGUCUCUAAAAGAACUUCCGUGAACUAAAACUGCAGAAGUUCACAUCCAUGUAAAGCAAAUCAGCUCGUGAAUGAUAAGGAAAUUAAUAGCUAACUGUAUUCAAAAUGAAGUGUUUCUCCCAUUCCCCGGCAAAGUGAAAAAGCAAGGCCUUAGUUACUCUGUUCUCAAUCUAAAUGCAGGCAGCAUAAUUCUAAUACCAUUCACACAGCAGUUACCCACAGUGUGAAACACUGGAAGCAUCUGUCACAGAACAGACUUUUUUUUUCCCACUGAUUCUACAUCUGAGCAUAAUAUGCAGAUGCAAUUAUCUGCUGCCAUGGCACUAAACUGUUUGGUUUGUUGCCUGAAAUUUACUUGAGAAAUACUAGUUCUCUCUGAACAGCCUCACAGAAAUGAGUAUCGACCAGUUGCCUUAGAUCGCGAAACAGAUUUGCUGGCGGUAAAUUUAUGCAAGGGUUGCAAUUGAAGGUCCAGUUUGUCUAAUUGUUCUCAUUGCAAUUUGUGUAUGGAUUCUCAGCCAGAGUCAACAACUGAGAUAAAGGCUCUCUGUUGCGAAAAACCAAUUAGUGUUACGGACCGUUUUAAAAGCAAAUGCAUAAAUUGUUUCUCCUGUGAAGUUAACCAUAUAGCAUCAAAUGAUUUUAAACACAAAUAUCCUUCUCCAGUGUAUUCGUAGAUACCCCUUCACAAGAGAGCGACUAUAUUUCACGAGGAGUUUUGGUUUGUCACCUAAAACACUCAAAAACUUCUUCAGAUGUACCGUGGACAGCAUUCUCACUGGCUGCA